rnacentral:lncRNA from 1 species
ACUGUGCUAGCAAAGAUGUCCGGGAAGGACAGAAAAGAAUGUAAUGUGCAAUUAAAACAAGGGAGAGUGAUUAAUGUAGGCAAAAAUUAAUCACAAGGGCAGUGUCAAAGUUUGGUGGGACAACUGCGUGUUCAGAAGACACCUGAAAAAAGUGAAAUGAAGAACCAAGGAUCAUCUGAGCAAAGACUCAAGGACCAUUUGAACAAAGACAUCCACAUCUAUACCACAGAUGACUUGGCAUCUAUGGAGGAGUGGAGGAGUGUUGGCAUGACCUUUUAUGAUCAUGGGGAAGGAAGGGAUCAACCCUCCACCGUCAAAGAGAAGAGAACCAGAGUCAUCAAGAUCGGAAUGUGGAUGGCACAAGCCAGGGC